AAUGGCUGCUUACGGUUUCGGGUUAAAAAUCAGAGUGAUUGCUCUCUCUCUACGGUUAAAUAGUAAAAACUAAGCUCUAAAAUCAGUGACUGAACGGGCUCGAAUCGAUUGCUUAUACGGGUAAAAAGCCCACAAUAUGAGAUCCAGGGAGCCCAUGUAUGUGGUUCUCCACAACCGUCCCUCGACAAGCUCUUGCAGCGGAGUCUCUCAUGCUUCCCAAAUCCUAUGCUGCAUUGCAGGUUAACACCCUUGCUGCAGAGAAGCUAUACUCGCUUGCGGGGGACUGGGCUAUUUGAGUGUAUGCUGUCAUUGCUGUGGGACUGGAACAAUUAGCUUAUCGAGUUGGUAUGGUAAUAUCCGUUUACUUGGUUUCGGUCUAUUUUCUGGUUUCAGUCCUAUUAUAGAAAUAUUCAUGAAUCUUAAUGAAAAAGUUCAUACUUCACAUGAUGGAUAGUCAUAGAACUCUGAACUUUGCUCACGCUUUGAUACUGAUAUUGGUCAAGUUGCAUCAGGGUGUUUGUGAAAAUGUUGAACAAGAAUCCCAAAGCCAUACUCAGAAGAGUUGCACUUCAGGUGGAGGAGUCUCCUUUGUGCUACAGUUCAAGGAUGUUCACUACAAAAAAAAAAAAAAAAA